UACGGGGGGAGCAAGCGUUGUUCGGAUUUACUGGGCGUAAAGGGCGCGUAGGCGGCGUGACAAGUCACUUGUGAAAUCUCCGGGCUUAACUCGGAACGGUCAAGUGAUACUGCUCGUGCUAGAGUACAGAAGGGGGCAACUGGAAUUCUCGGUGUAGCGGUGAAAUGCGUAGAUAUCGAGAGGAACACCUGCGGCGAAGGCGGGUUGCUGGGCUGAUACUGACGCUGAGGCGCGAAAGCCAGGGGAGCGAACGGG
rnacentral:rRNA from 1 species